CCUAUGAACAGAAGGGACGGGACAGCUUCUGGAUCAAUUAGUCCAACUUCAAUGUUCAAACCAACCACGAGGGAGAUCGGCAAUUCCAAAAUCUGCAGGCAGAGGCCGGACGCAGGUCCCAUUUGUGGUGCGAGUGCAGCACCUUUUGGCGUUCUCCUGGGCGUCGGGUUCCACAUAGAAUCGAGCUCUGUACGCUGCUAAAUGAGCGUAGUAUGCUGGAGGAACUGCACCACGCCAUAAAUGUCACUGUGUGAAAUUACCACAUCCAAAAUUCAAUGAUUCAAGCCAAAAAAAAGCGAUAUGGGUGGAGUCGUCCGGAGCCAUCCAGGUCGAACUACCCAACCAGACCAAAUUUGAGUCGACCCAGUCCUAAGUUUGAUUAAACCGGAUUACAUGAAUCAAUACAAGGAGAUUUCCUCUAUAAAUAAGAGAAGAGAACAGUCUAGACGUGAAAUAUGCUCUCACAACUGUACUUUUUGAUACUCUCGAUGAAACUUUUUACUUACAUAUCAGAGUGUGUUGGACUUAGCACCAGAGGUGUGUAAUUAUUUUUGUG